CAGUAGCCGCGGUAAUACGUAGGGCGCAAGCGUUGUCCGGAAUUAUUGGGCGUAAAGAGCUCGUAGGCGGUCUGUCGCGUCUGGUGUGAAAUCCCGAGGCUCAACCUCGGGCUUGCAUCGGGUACGGGCAGACUAGAGUGCGGUAGGGGAGACUGGAAUUCCUGGUGUAGCGGUGGAAUGCGCAGAUAUCAGGAGGAACACCGAUGGCGAAGGCAGGUCUCUGGGCCGCAACUGACGCUGAGGAGCGAAAGCAUGGGGAGCGAACAGGAUUAGAUACCCCAGUAGUCCCUGUCUCUUAUAU
rnacentral:rRNA from 1 species